UGCACAUCUGCAGGCCUGGGUUCAAAUCCCAACCUGGCCACUUCCUGGCUGUGUGACCUUGGACAAAUGACUUAACCUCUCUGGGCCUCAGUUCCCUUGUGAGAUUCCAGUAACCGUGAAAUGAGCGCAAGCCAUCAGGUGCUCAGGCAGGGGCCUGGCGCACAUCAGGGGCUCAGUCCUGUGACUGCUGUUACCAGGCUCUUUCAUUCCUCUUGCUGCAGAGGUUUUCUGUGGCUGAUGUGCCAUAGAUACUGUGGCUCAGCUCUGGGACUGCUCCACUCGUGGAGGGCAGUCUGGUGGGGAUGAUAAGCGUGCAAAUUAACGGGAUCCCAGAGGGCGGACCCCGUGCUGCUGGAGCCGGGGAGGGAGCCGCCCACGGACAGGGGAUUGGACCCGUCUGCACAGCGAGCGGCUCCCUGACCUGGUGCCUGAAGGGUGAAGAGCCAUGUGCCUGGUGGGGAAGGUGGUGCUAGCGUUCCCAGCGGGGGUCGACCUGUGAGCAGUGUGGCCUGAGGUUGCACCACUCUGAGCCUCCAGGGGCGUGUGUGUGUGUGUGUGUGUGUGUUGAAGGUGCGAUCUGAUAACGCCUUGCCCCAGAAAGCCUGAGGCUUAUAAAUUCGGGUUGGAUCGAGGGUCUGUCCUCGGUGGGGUGCAGCACUUGCCUUGGUUCUUGUCCCGCAGCGCCAGCCGUCCCAGCUCAGAGAGGUAGGAAGGGAGGCCAUGCGAAAUGUGAGCUCAGGUCACAGGACACUGCAGCAGCCCGCCCGCCGACCCCACCCCCAAGGAUGUCGGGCGUCGUUACCGUUGAGGCACACGCCAGGGUCGCAACACAGCUUCCCUGGGCCGGAGGACGGGCAGGGGGCUCUUAGCCAGCGUGGGCAUCUGGGGGCCCAAGGGGGAGUGUGUGACCAGAAGGCAGGGGCUGCCGGCAGGCCGCCGCGGAGCGCUGACAGGUCCUCGGGCCGCCUCAGCCUGGCUGUGCACCCCUGGGACACAAGCACACGCAGCCCUGGGGGAAAGUCUGAGCAACACAGGAGCAGAGAUGUGAGGACAGGCGUCCAGGGCGCAGAGACCCAGGGGACGGGGCCUGGGAGAGGAACCCUUCAGGGAUCACCAAACUUUUUAAAGCAGCAAAACCACUUUUUCAAAGGAACCCCAGAAUAGGAAACGGACAAAGCCAAGGAGGCAUCUCGGGCGGGUUAAUUCUUCAUUGUGG
rnacentral:lncRNA from 1 species